rnacentral:rRNA from 1 species
GCCCUUCCUCUAGCUCAAUUACCCUUUAACAUAAACCAAACAAUCUACUAUAACACCUAACCAAAACAUUUUUUACACCUAGUAUAGGCGAUAGAAAAGCUACUUGACGCAAUAGAGACAUUUUCGUACCGUAAGGGAAAGAUGAAAUAACAAUGAAAUACAUAAAAGCAAAAAAUAGCAAAGAUCAACCCUUGUACCUUUUGCAUCAUGAUUUAGCAAGAACAUCCAAGCACAAUGAAUUUAAGCUUGCUAUCCCGAAACCCAAGCGAGCUACUCACAAGCAGCUACCAUUGAGCAAACCCGUCUCUGUGGCAAAAGAGUGGGAAGACUUGUUAGUAGAGGUGAAAAGCCAAUCGAGCUGGGUGAUAGCUGGUUGCUUGUGAAACGAAUCUUAGUUCACCUCUAACUCUCCCCCACCAGACACCCAUCUUAAACCUAAUGUGGAAAGUUAGAAGUAAUUUAAAGGAGGUACAGCCCCUUUAAAAAAGAAGACAAUCUCUACCAGAGGGUAAUUUUAUCCAUUACGCCGAUACGUAGGCCCUAAAGCAGCCAUCAACAAAGAAUGCGUCAAAGCUCAGUUAACUCUAAAAAUCCAAAAACAUUACGAUCCCCUCACCACUAACAAGCCAACCUAUAAUCAUAGGAGAAUUAAUGCUAGAAUAAGUAACUAGAAGCCCCUUCUCUUAAGCGCAAACUUACAUCAUACAUCAUUAACAGACUAACUUAUACCACCACCUCAACAAGAACCAAUAUUAAACUACCCUGUUACCCCAACCCAGGAGCGCCUAUUAGAAAGAUUAAAAUCUGUAAAAGGAACUAGGCAAAUCUAGGGCUCGACUGUUUACCAAAAACAUAGCCUUCAGCUAACAGCAAGUAUUGAAGGUGAUGCCUGCCCAGUGACUCAUGUUCAACGGCCGCGGUAUCCUAACCGUGCAAAGGUAGCGCAAUCAAUUGUCCCAUAAAUCGAGACUUGUAUGAACGGCUAAACGAGGUCCUAACUGUCUCUUACAGAUAAUCAGUGAAAUUGAUCCUCUUGUGCAAAAGCAAGAAUAAAAACAUAAGACGAGAAGACCCUGUGGAACUUGAAAAUCAAGGACCAACGUAUCUAGCUUUCAAACCUACAAGGCUAACAACACUUACAACAGCUGGUCCCUAUUUUUCGGUUGGGGCGACCUUGGAGAAAAAAAGAACCUCCAAAAAUAAGACCACACACCUUGACUAAGAACAACCCCUCAAAGUACUAAUAGUAACCAGACCCAAUACAAUUGAUUAAUGAACGAAGCUACCCCAGGGAUAACAGCGCAAUCUCCUUCAAGAGCCCAUAUCGACAAGGAGGUUUACGACCUCGAUGUUGGAUCAGGACAUCCUAAUGGUGUAGCCGCUAUUAAGGGUUCGUUUGUUCAACGAUUAACAGUCCUACGUGAUCUGAGUUCAGACCGGAGCAAUCCAGGUCGGUUUCUAUCUAUGUAACACUCUUCCCAGUACGAAAGGACCGGAAAAGUAAGGCCUAUACCAAACAGCACGCCUUCUUUCUAAUUAGUGAAAUCAACUUAACUAACAAGAACCUCUCCCCAUCAUCCCCUAGAAAAGGGCUA